GCGGCGUGGAUGGUGAAGUCCUUGUUGCUUUAAAGCCUCCGUUCGCUGUUGUUCUUUAUCUUCGAAAUCUUCCAGAAUGUUUUUCUGUAAGCAGAGAAUUUCAUCGACUGAGACCUCUUGUAAAUUCAAGAUUUUCUCUUUAGGUUCGCCCUGAACGAAAUAAGAUAAUAGCCAAGUUAUCUCCCCGGAUGAUAAACACCCCGCGUGGAAUGUCGCCAUAUUUGUUCCCUACAUAAAUCCUUUCGAUGGCUUGAGUGAGGAUGAUAUUUGAAAAUUCGUCGAUGGAUCGAAGUUUUCCAAACAUUGUUGUCCCAUCUCGAAGUAGCACCAUUACUUGUUCUAUUGAUGAAAUAUAUUAAUAUAUGAUAAUUCGAAUAUAUUAAACGUUACUUACUAUCAA